AGUGAACGCUGGCGGUAGGCCUAACACAUGCAAGUCGAACGGCAGCACAGUAAGAGCUUGCUCUUACGGGUGGCGAGUGGCGGACGGGUGAGGGAUACAUCGGAAUCUACUUUUUCGUGGGGGAUAACGUAGGGAAACUUACGCUAAUACCGCAUACGACCUACGGGUGAAAGCAGGGGAUCCUCGGACCUUGCGCGAUUGAAUGAGCCGAUGUCGGAUUAGCUAGUUGGCGGGGUAAAGGCCCACCAAGGCGACGAUCCGUAGCUGGUCUGAGAGGAUGAUCAGCCACACUGGAACUGAGGCACGGUCCAGACUCCUACGGGAGGCAGCAGUGGGGAAUAUUGGACAAUGGGCGCAAGCCUGAUCCAGCCAUACCGCGUGGGUGAAGAAGGCCUUCGGGUUGUAAAGCCCUUUUGUUGGGAAAGAAAAGCAGCAGGUUAAUACCCCGCUGUUCUGACGGUACCCAAAGAAUAAGCACCGGCUAACUUCGUG
rnacentral:rRNA from 1 species